rnacentral:lncRNA from 1 species
UCAAAGCGAGGUCAUCUUCCUAACAAUCUUCUAGUGUGUUACUAUUAUAAUCCCAUUUUACAGAUGAGAAAACUGAGGUCCAGAUAAGCUGAGUCAUCCAAAGUCUCACAGCUACCAUGUGAACUGAGCCAGGAUUUGAACCCAGGCAUUCUGCCUCCAGAGCCCAGGCUGUUAACUGCUACAUUAUGCUGGACACGCUGCACCUGCCCCCAUUCCUACCCCAGGGGACCUCCUGUGUGCCAUGACGCUUCACAAUCAGAACCUCGCUUAAGCCUCAUGACAACUUUAUGCAUCUGGUCAUUUUGCAAAUCCAAUCAAUCAAUACGGAGCACUUGCUAUGUUCCUGAUGCUAAACUAGAUACCAGGGACACGGUGCAGAGGAUGAAGACAGAUAAGGACCCAUCUCUUGGGGAACUUACCGUCUAGAGAGAGAAGACAGCCAGUCGAGGAGAGAGGCAAUCGUGGGCAGUGCAGGAGAACAGGAAACACAGGGGGCUUUGCAAGCACAGAAUAGGGACUCAGUAAAUAUUCGUGGUUGAAUGGAAAGCUCUUAGGAUAAUGGCUUUCAGGUAGCUCUCCAAUGUGCCAGCCUAUUGUGUUAGUUAGGGCAGGAUAACUGCUGUUACAGACAACCCCCAAAUCUCAGUGACUCACAAUCUGUUUACUUGUCACUCAGGUCACAGUCCAGUGUAGGUCAACUCCUCAUGGUCACUCAGAGACCCAGGCCCUUCCAUCCAGGGGAGGGGAUCUUGAUUUCUUUUUUGAUCUUCUGCAUCCCCCGGCAGAGGAGAGGAAAAGGCAGGGUGUGGAGGAGCAUGGGGGAGGUUUUAUGGGCAGGCCUGGAAGGGAUUCAUGGCCAAUUCACCUGGUCUUGUGUGGGGGUGUAGGUAGUGACCUAGGAGUGAAGGAAGGAGCAGUGUCAUGCCCAGCAGUUCCCCCAGGUGAAUUCAAUGGAGGAGAGGUGAUUUUCCUAAACAAUGAGGGUUACUUAGGAAGGGGGCAUGGAUUCUGGGUGGUCACAGCCUUCUAACCGGUAUAUAUUCACUGCAGUAUGCUAGUCAGGAUUCUUUUAGCUUCAACUGAUAAAAACCCAACUCAAACUACUUAAGGAAAAGAGAAUGGUUCUGGUCUAGGAAGGUGGUUUCAGGAAUGGCUGGAUACAGGAACUCAACAGGGUCAUCUUUUCUGGUUGGCUUUAGCCUCCAGGCAGGCUGUCAAUGUGUGGUAGGGAAGCAGGCCACCAGCAGGUGCACCCAAACAUGUAUGCAACAAGCCCAGCAAGCCUGGCAGGAGCGAGGCAUAUGUAUCAUUUAUCUGUGUACAUCUAUAAUAUGUAUGUCAUAUAUCAUGUAUCCUCUCUAUAUAUCAU